rnacentral:rRNA from 16 species
GUGGAGCAUGUUGCUUAAUUCGAGACAACGCGAAGAACCUUAUCCUGGAUUUGACAUGCUUGUAUUAGCUCUGUGAAAGCAGAGUGACGCCUUCGGGUGGAACUUGCACAGGUGCUGCAUGGCUGUCGUCAGCUCGUGCUGUGAAGUGUCGGGUUAAGUCCCUUAACGAGCGCAACCCCUAUCGUUAGUUACUAACGCGUUAUGGCGAGGACUCUAACGAGACUGCCGGUGUCAAACCGGAGGAAGGUGGGGAUGACGUCAAGUCCUCAUGGCCUUUAUGACCAGGGCUGCACACGUCCUACAAUGGCGCGUACAAAGAGAUGCGAACUCGUGAGAGCAAGCUAAUCCCAUAAAGCGCGCCUCAGUUCGGAUUGCAGGCUGCAACUCGCCUGCAUGAAGCCGGAAUCGCUAGUAAUCGCAGGUCAGCUAUACUGCGGUGAAUAUGUUCCUGAGCCUUGUACACACCGCCCGUCAAGCCACGAAAGCGGGGGGGGCAUGAAGUCGCCGAGCUAACUUCGGAGGCAGGCGCCUAGUGUCAACUCCGUGAUUGGGACUAAGUCGGAACAAGGUAGCCGUAGGAGAACCUGCGGCUGGAUCACCUCCUU